ensembl:lncRNA
CUCUGUACUGCCGGGUUAACCUCUGUGCUACCGGGUUAACCUCUGUGCUACCAGAUUAGCUUCUGCGCUCCCGGGUUAGCCUCUGUGCUACCGGGUUAACCUCUGUGCUACAGGGUUAAUCUCUGUGCUACCAGGCUAGCCUCUGUGGUACCGGGUUAGCCUCUGUGCUACAGGGUUAACCUCUGUGCUACCGGCUUAACCUCUGUGCUACCUGGUUAGCCUCUAUGCUACAGGGUUAGCCUCUGUGCUACCGGGUUAACCUCUGUGCUACCGGGUUAGCCUCUGUGCUACCGGGUUAGCCUCUGUGCUACCGGGUUAACCUCUGUGCUACCGGGUUAGCCUCUGUGCUACCGGGUUAACCUCUUUGUUACCGGGUUAGCAUUUGUGCUACCGGGUUAGCCUCUGUGGUACCAGUUUAGCCUCUGUGCUACCGGGUUAGCCUUUGUGCUACCAGUUUAGCUGUCAAUCCUGAUUAUGAGUCUAUGAUGUAAAAGAGGGAGCAGAUUAAUGGCUAAAAUGUAAAAAGUAACAUGCUUCCUCGGCGUCCCGUGUUCUUUUCUCUAUCGAUCCUCGGGUUCACCUGACAUCCCAGGUGUAAAGUCUCUGAUUAGAUCACUGGAUAGAAAACCAGCAGGGAUCAGAAUGCUGACGACGUGAAUCUAUAACCACUGAUUUAUAUUCACACCUGCGUGCACGCAUCUCGCCGGGACCUCAUUGAUUACACGAAUGCCCUCAGCCACUAACCCUAAUCUUCACCCUCACCACUCAAUAUCUCACCUUAAGACCGUGAUCUUAAUGUAUUCCCAAUGAAACUUUAUAGGACUACUCAGUUGCUUUCCACCUAUCAACUAUUCACUUUACUGCAAACUGAUUCCAUGCCCGUGCAGGAUGCAAGUUCAUAUUUGCUUAUGAAAUAUUAUAUUUUCUGCAUUUCUGAUUGAUAUUGUUAGACGUGAAGGUAUACAAAUUUAGACUUAAUUAUCAUUCAUCUAUAAUUAAUUAUGUACAAAUGAAAUGCUUAAUUUAUGUAUUUUUUUAAAGGCUUUAUUGUUUUAUACUGGUUGUAUCCAUCUACUGUCUUAAUGAAAAACACAUAUAUAGUGCUAAUCGCAUUAAGUUGUGUCUAAUGAUGUAUUUGAGUGAACAAAAACUUAAAUCAUAACUCUGCCAAGCACAACUUUAACCCUGAGCAUUACAGUCCACACAGUUUUCUGGCAUCAUUUAUGUUUCAUAUUUUUUAAUUGGAAGCCUUACCCUGCAUAUGUAAAUCAAUACAGAUUUAUUAAUUGCAUUUGAGGUCCAUGAUCCGCGUGAUACUGUUGUGUAUUUGACAUCAGUCAAUUUGUAUAUUUGUACAAAACUUGUAGUGGCUUGACCUUGAAAAUACGUCAAUUUAAAAUGAAAGAAUCCUCAGUCAUCCAAAGUCACGAUCACUCUUUCAGUCUCUCUCUUUCACUCUCUCUUUUCAGCAGCACACGAACCAGCGAGCCCGCACACUCGGCCUUGUCAAAAAAUGAAAAGGUAAAAAUCUCUCUGCACUGAAUGUGUUCCCACGGUCUUCAUGGUUCCCUUUCAAAGACGCCGAGGAGCCUGAGUGGAAAAGAAAAUUGAAAUAAGUGACAACUAAUGACCUGAGAUUUAGAGUACGGGGUAAGAGGGCUUUUCAUUGCAUAUCAAACACACCGCGAUCUACCUGCUCCUAAGCCUCAAUGCUCUGAUGCCUUCUGAACAAGCACUUACUCCUCCGCGUUGGGGUCGGAUAAUGCUUUUGCAGACGUGCAGUGGAGUCCUCAAAUGCUGUGUGAUUCAUUCUGUCCCCGGCGAGAAACGGAGGUGAAGUUCAACUCUCCCAGCCAGCAGGGUCGGUCGCCCCCCGAGCGGAGCGGCACAGGCUCCGAGCUGCUCGCCGACCAACGGUGGAGUUAGCAUCGUAUCCACCGGUUAUCCAAUGCAGCAGUAAUUAUUUCCCCAGAGGCAGUGGGCCUGCAUUAAGCUGAGAAGCAGAAUAUGCCGACAGAGUGUGAUCGAUUGGGGAGAAAACAUAAAGCAGCCGAGCUGAGCUGUUGGAUGGAGUGUGUUUGCUUUAUUGAGUAACUGUAGCUUUUGAUAAUUGGAGUACAAGCUGGAGAAGCCAUUAGUGCAGCCCAACCCUCGCAACUACCUGACCGUAACCGCCACCUCGUCCUCGCCGACAGCGCUCCUCUCCUAAACCUAACUAACAGGGGUUGAUGCCUAAACCCUGAACUUAGCCUUUUAGACGCUUAUAAGGGGUCUUCUGAAGCGGGCUUGUACUGAAUGAACUUCAUUUUGUUUAAUAUCACUCUCAGAAUGAAUUAGUUCUUCCCCCGGUUGAUUUAAAAAGAAUCCAACCAUCCUCCCCCGUCCCGUCCCUGCUCAGGUGACAUAUUGCCUGAAUACGUGAAAGCACGUCCGCAGCAUCAGCUGACUUUCCUCCUGCCCACAGAUGCCUCCGCAGCUUCAGCAUGACCUCAGACCAGGUGGAUCUCCGGGGAUCUCUCAGUCCGUCACGUCCCAUCUCGUCACAGCCUGCUUGGCCCAUAUGUUCCUCUGGCAGGUGUCCUCCUCCCCGUCACCUUUGUGCUCCGUCACCCCGCUUUGAACCCCCGGAAGCUCUCAGGUACUCCACAAGGGACACGCGCCCGCCAGAGGAAGUGGCUAUUUUAAGGGCAGGUUCCUAUGGGAGUUUUUGUUUAUUUGAGCACAUUCGCGGGACGGAAAUAUGUCGGCAUGGAGCCUUUUUUGGCUCAGUCAGAGGUUCCGGAAAGAAAACACAUCUCAUAUAAAUGAUUUACCCUUGAUUACAUAAAUGUUUAUCUUUUAAUUAAUUUGAAGGGACAGGAAGGCUCUGGAUACUUGAUUUUCAAACAUUAUCAUACUUGUAAGAAGUAUGUGACAUAUUACAUACUUCAAAUAGUACUAUUUUAUCAUCAAAAAGAAUACCAUUUUUUGUCAUAUUCUCUACACACAAGUCACAUCUUUCUUGAUUUGCUCCUCGGAUUCUGUCAAAUGCAAAUUACACUUCGAUGCCUCCUCGGCAUCCUUCUGUGAUUGUUUUUGUGUUUUGGGAUUGAAAGGUCGGUGCGGCCUGGACCAAAUGGAUUCCUCUACUGGGGCUGAGAUGGUUUA